UUUUUUUUUUUUUUUUUUUCCUCCCUUUUCUUUGAGAGAGAGAGAUGGUAGGAUUUGGAAAUUAAGAUAAUGACAUAGAGGUUUAAGGAAUGGUAAUUGAAAAUGGUAUAAGCCAUCCAAGUUAUUGAAGUUUGUGGGGUUGUUGGCUUGUUGCCAAGUCUUUAUUGCCCUAACACAGUAACGGUUGACAACUAGGAAGGGCUAAAUUUCAAGAAUAAUCGCAAUUUUGUUCAUUAUAUUUGGUCACUGAUGCCUUUCUAUUUUGCUCAAUGUGGAAAUUUAUUUUCAUCCUUUCUACUGUCGUAAAAUAGCACGGCUUGACAGGCUUCUAAAAAAUUUCUUCCCAUUACCACUAAUAAAUGUUAUAUUGGAGUAUUAUCCUACUUGCUGGAGUUGGUGUUUCUUUGGUCCAGAAUAGGAUCCCUUACAGGCACUGACAGAGAUGAAUGUCCGUCAGACCUUGCAGAAGUUGAGUCAAAAUGUAAUUUAUAUGUUAAUAAUUAUGGGUGAAUUUCGAAAGUAAAUUGAUGAGAACAUAGAGAGUUUAAACUGGUCCUGGAAGGUGCUAGAUAUUGCCUCUAAGUUGUUUUGAUUGUAUUGAUAACAUAGAGAGUUUAAACUGGUUCUUCAAAACUGAUAUUAGUAUUGCUAAUUUAAUAAUAACAUGCCAAUGUGAUUAGGCCAAGUUGCGUUCACUGUGUCUAACUAGCUAGGUGAACAACAUGUGGGACAAUUAUAUUGAAUUCAACUAACAUUUUGUGCUUUUAAUUCUUUGGCUUAGCAGCAUGUCUGCAAAACUUUUAAAUGCCAUGACUGGCCAUUGACAUUGCAGAAUUGUGCACACAACUUACUGAGGAUAUCACAAGCCAGCUAAAUUCGCUUCUGGUCCAUAUAUUCAAUUAAAUAGGAACUUUUGGUCCAUGAUGCAUUUAUUUUCUUGUGAACAUCGCAUCAUGCCUAAUUCCGAAGGUAUUCUGGCAUACUCUAGGAGCAAGGUAGCACCACAUGAAAAUAAAUUCUUACAACCCUUCCUCUCAUUUUACUUGAUGCUAAUUUAAUCUUUUUAUUUAAUUAUUUAAGAAGCCAUUUUUUUUUGCUCCCUAGGAUUUUUAAAUCUAUAAUUCCUCUUUAAAAUGUCAACAAAUGAACUUAAUCUAGUGUUAUUUUCAGGUUAUUUCCUUUGUUUUUCUCAGAUGCCUCAAAUGUUAACUUGUCUGAUUGGAAAAUCAAAUUAGUUAAUGUUCUAUGGUUAACAUUUGUGUACUUUUCAUCAACAGAUCCACUUUAUAAGUCUUUCUAUCAGAUAGCUAACUCUCUGUGGCUUUUAACUUUCAUUGGCUUUUUGGCA
rnacentral:misc_RNA from 1 species